AUAUAUAUUCGGUCUUCGUCUCCAGUUUCUGGCACAGAGCUUCUAAAACUCUUGUAAAUUCCUGAGUGAUAGGGGUGAUAGGAGUUUCUUUUAUUUCCUGCCACAGU